GACGAACGCUGGCGGCGUGCUUAACACAUGCAAGUCGUACGGUAAGGCCCUUUCGGGGGUACACGAGUGGCGAACGGGUGAGUAACACGUGAGUAACCUGCCCACAACUUUGGGAUAACGCUAGGAAACUGGUGCUAAUACUGGAUAUGUGCUCCUGCUGCAUGGUGGGGGUUGGAAAGCUCCGGCGGUUGUGGAUGGACUCGCGGCCUAUCAGCUUGUUGGUGGGGUAGUGGCCUACCAAGGCGGCGACGGGUAGCCGGCCUGAGAGGGUGACCGGCCAAAUUGGGACUGAGAUACGGCCCAGACUCCUACGGGAGGCAGGAGGGGGGAAGAUUGCACAAUGGGCGCAAGCCUGAUGCAGAAACGCCGGGGGGGGGAUGACGGCCUUCGGGUUGUAAACCGCUUUCAGCGGGGACGAAGCUUUUGGGGAGGGAACCGGCAAAAAAAGAACGGCUAAACUAGGG
rnacentral:rRNA from 1 species